AGGAUUCUGGGAGCACCACCAACACUUUGGUUUCAUUUCUUUGAUUGAUAGCGGCCAGAAAAAAUAACUUUCCACCAGUUUUAUUCCAGCAACAAAUCUCCGGGGAUAUUGCUUGUGGAUAGUUUUUGAUUCUAACAUUUUUUUUAACAUUUUGUAAAUGACAAAAACUAAGACAUUUCUAUAAACAACUUUUUUGUACUCACCACUAGAUAGAAUAACGUCGUUGUGAUAAAGACAUCAGGAGAUGGACAAGACCCCAUUACGGUUCCUCUACAUUCCUUACUAGUUCCAGAAAGAAACAAUGAACAGAAGAUUCUCAAAGUCACCAAGAAGAUCAUUAAAAUGCUAACAGGAGAGAGUGGAAACUGGAGCAAUAUUAAUGUUAGUAUUAAAGAAGAGAUAAAAGAAGGAGAGGAUGAAGAUGGUGUGAUAGAAGAGCAGGAGUGUUUAGAAGAACCCAACAAUCUCCACAAGGACAUAAUGAUGGAGGAUCAGUCGCCCCUCACAUCACCGGAUGGAUCCAGUAAUGGGAACCCACCAGAGAGAUGUCC